rnacentral:rRNA from 2 species
AAAUUGAAGAGUUUGAUCAUGGCUCAGAUUGAACGCUGGCGGCAGGCCUAACACAUGCAAGUCGAACGGUAACAGGAAGCAGCUUGCUGCUUUGCUGACGAGUGGCGGACGGGUGAGUAAUGUCUGGGAAACUGCCUGAUGGAGGGGGAUAACUACUGGAAACGGUGGCUAAUACCGCAUAACGUCGCAAGACCAAAGAGGGGGACCUUCGGGCCUCUUGCCAUCAGAUGUGCCCAGAUGGGAUUAGCUUGUUGGUGAGGUAACGGCUCACCAAGGCGACGAUCCCUAGCUGGUCUGAGAGGAUGACCAGCCACACUGGAACUGAGACACGGUCCAGACUCCUACGGGAGGCAGCAGUGGGGAAUAUUGCACAAUGGGCGCAAGCCUGAUGCAGCCAUGCCGCGUGUAUGAAGAAGGCCUUCGGGUUGUAAAGUACUUUCAGCGGGGAGGAAGGUGUUGUGGUUAAUAACCGCAGCAAUUGACGUUACCCGCAGAAGAAGCACCGGCUAACUCCGUGCCAGCAGCCGCGGUAAUACGGAGGGUGCAAGCGUUAAUCGGAAUUACUGGGCGUAAAGCGCACGCAGGCGGUCUGUCAAGUCGGAUGUGAAAUCCCCGGGCUCAACCUGGGAACUGCAUUCGAAACUGGCAGGCUUGAGUCUUGUAGAGGGGGGUAGAAUUCCAGGUGUAGCGGUGAAAUGCGUAGAGAUCUGGAGGAAUACCGGUGGCGAAGGCGGCCCCCUGGACAAAGACUGACGCUCAGGUGCGAAAGCGUGGGGAGCAAACAGGAUUAGAUACCCUGGUAGUCCACGCCGUAAACGAUGUCUACUUGGAGGUUGUGCCCUUGAGGCGUGGCUUCCGGAGCUAACGCGUUAAGUAGACCGCCUGGGGAGUACGGCCGCAAGGUUAAAACUCAAAUGAAUUGACGGGGGCCCGCACAAGCGGUGGAGCAUGUGGUUUAAUUCGAUGCAACGCGAAGAACCUUACCUGGUCUUGACAUCCACGGAAGAAUCCAGAGAUGGAUUUGUGCCUUCGGGAACCGUGAGACAGGUGCUGCAUGGCUGUCGUCAGCUCGUGUUGUGAAAUGUUGGGUUAAGUCCCGCAACGAGCGCAACCCUUAUCCUUUGUUGCCAGCGGUCCGGCCGGGAACUCAAAGGAGACUGCCAGUGAUAAACUGGAGGAAGGUGGGGAUGACGUCAAGUCAUCAUGGCCCUUACGACCAGGGCUACACACGUGCUACAAUGGCGCAUACAAAGAGAAGCGACCUCGCGAGAGCAAGCGGACCUCAUAAAGUGCGUCGUAGUCCGGAUUGGAGUCUGCAACUCGACUCCAUGAAGUCGGAAUCGCUAGUAAUCGUGGAUCAGAAUGCCACGGUGAAUACGUUCCCGGGCCUUGUACACACCGCCCGUCACACCAUGGGAGUGGGUUGCAAAAGAAGUAGGUAGCUUAACCUUCGGGAGGGCGCUUACCACUUUGUGAUUCAUGACUGGGGUGAAGUCGUAACAAGGUAACCGUAGGGGAACCUGCGGUUGGAUCACCUCCUUA